rnacentral:rRNA from 1 species
UAUCAAUUUAACUCUGGUUGAUUUAUUUUUAGUGAAGAAUUAUAGGUUAGUGGUGCCACAUAGGAUAUUUAUAUUUGAUGUUGUAAAUUUAUAGGUAUAGUAAUUUUUUAUUAAAUGUAGUGGUGUGAACUGUAAUAGUAGGGGGACCUAGCUUCGGUUACUAACUAGAAUUUGAAGGGGUUAAGUCGCAGUGCCAGCAACCGCGGUUAUACUGCUUUCUUCAUUCUUCUUGGUAGGUGUAAAUAAAUUAUAAAGAGAUAGUCGAAAUAUGUUGGUUGAAUAGGCUUUGAGUUUAUAUGUGCUUUAUAUGUAGUUAUUAAGCUUUUUUUUAAAAUAGGGAUUAGAUACCCCUUUAUUAAAAGUAAGAUUUUUUGUCCACAGUGUUAACUGAAAGAGUUUGGCAGUGAAUUAAAUUCUUCCGGGGGAACGUGUCGAUUAAAGAGAUGGUCCGCUUAAUAGUUUACUGUAUUUAAUAAGUUAGUGUAUGUCCGCCUAUAGAUUCACGCAGAGAUGCUUGUUAGUGAGUAAAUAUUAUAAAUUUAAGGUAGGUCUAUAUGCUGCUAAUAGUACAGGUUUGGUUCGUUACAUUAAUAAAUUUUGGCUUUGUAAUAAGUUGAUUAUAUUUAGGACUCGGAAGUAGGGGGAAUAUGUUAUUUUGGUCUCUCGAAGGUUGAAAUAAUUUGGGUACACAUCGCCCGACAAUCUCGGUAUAUAACUGAGUUAAGUCGUAACAUGGUAACACUUAAAGAAUUAGGUGUUAAUUAAAU